CCUACGGGUGGCAGCAGUGAGGAAUAUUGGUCAAUGGACGGAAGUCUGAACCAGCCAUGCCGCGUGCAGGAAUACGGCUCUAUGAGUUGUAAACUGCUUUUGUACGAGGGUAAACAUCAAUACGUGUAUUUUUCUGAAAGUACUUUACGAAUAAGGAUCCGCUAACUCCGUGCCAGCAGCCGCGGUAAUACGGAGGGUUCAAGCGUUAACCGGCUUUAUUGGGUUUAAAGGGGGCGUAGGCGGGCGGGUAAGUAAGGGGGGAAAGGCCCGGGCUCAACCUCGGGGGUGCCUUUGAUACUGGGUGUCUUGAGAGUAGGAGAGGUAGGCGGAAUGCGUAGUGUAGCGGUGAAAUGCUUAGAUAUU
rnacentral:rRNA from 1 species